rnacentral:lncRNA from 1 species
GUAUCGUUUAAUGUGAAAAUCUGCCUAAAUGUUUUUUUUAUUUUGCUGCAGAACUUUAUCAAGUGUGAAAAUGAGCUCCUAUAAUAUAAAAAAAAGUCUGCUUUUUCUUUCAGCUUUUGCUCUAAGUGUAGUUCCUGAAGGUGGAGAAGAUGAGACUGAACUACCAGUGCUGCAGUAAUUUUCAUAAAUGAAAAAGAUCCCUAUUGCAAACUGCUGAUCUGCUGCAGUGUAUCUGGGAGACGAGAU